rnacentral:rRNA from 1 species
GACGAACGCUGGCGGCGUGCUUAACACAUGCAAGUCGAACGGAAAGGCCCUGCUUUUGUGGGGUGCUCGAGUGGCGAACGGGUGAGUAACACGUGAGUAACCUGCCCUUGACUUUGGGAUAACUUCAGGAAACUGGGGCUAAUACCGGAUAGGAGCUCCUGCUGCAUGGUGGGGGUUGGAAAGUUUCGGCGGUUGGGGAUGGACUCGCGGCUUAUCAGCUUGUUGGUGGGGUAGUGGCUUACCAAGGCUUUGACGGGUAGCCGGCCUGAGAGGGUGACCGGCCACAUUGGGACUGAGAUACGGCCCAGAGUCCUACGGGAGGCAGAAGUGGGGAAUAUUGCACAAUGGGCGGAAGCAUGAUGCAGCAACGCCGCGUGCGGGAUGACGGCCUUCGGGUUGUAAACCGCUUUCGCCUGUGACGAAGCGUGAGUGACGGUAAUGGGUAAAGAAGCACCGGCUAACUACGUG